GUAUUAUGAGGAGUAUUAUAGUCAUUUAAGCCACCGCAAGAGCAGCGGGCGGUGCACGGUGAAAGGGUGCGGCGAUCAGGGUGUAACUUCCCUUCUCCCCCCACGAAACCGUAAGAUAUCUCGCCGCCGUCCUCUCGUCUUCCGCCUCGACCAUGUCUGGAAGAAGGAAGACUAGGGAGCCCAAGGAGGACAACGUGACGCUUGGGCCGGCUGUGCGGGAAGGGGAGCAAGUAUUUGGUGUUGCUCACAUCUUUGCAUCAUUCAAUGACACAUUCAUUCAUGUAACAGAUUUAUCGGGGAGGGAAACAUUAGUUCGUAUCACAGGUCAAAGCUGACACGGAUGAAUCAUCCCCAUAUGCAGCAUGUCACGAACAGUCGUCGCGCACCCGCAAUAAUUCCGUUCAACGAACCGUUCAUCGCUCUCAUCUACAUGUCCUUCGGGAUCUGCGAGAGGUUACAAGUGGGCUGAUCUUUGCGGAGCAAUAUUGCAAGGGCGAAGCGCGACUUAGGCAACGCAAGCUAAGUUCGCGUCUUGGCCGCAAGGGUACCUCACGCCGUAGGCAAUUCCAGCUAAGGCCGUGACAGUAUGCAGCAAUGCUUGCAGCACAAGAUGUUGCACAGAGAUGCAAGGAACUUGGGAUUGCUGCUUUGCACAUUAAGUUGCGUGCUACUGGUGGAAAUAAGACAAAAACACCCGGUCCUGGUGCUCAGUCUGCUCUCAGGGCACUUGCCCGCUCUGGCAUGAAAAUUGGCCGUAUUGGUAAGUUUAAAUAUAAUCAGAAUUGGAAUUUUCUCUUUGUCUCAAAGUUUCUUCUUUCUCUGUUGUGUGACACAAUUGGCAUGCUAUCUGGGUUAGUAAACUUCUUGGCUACGUAACACAUCUGUUGUCUCACAAACCACAUUCAUUACAUAAACGUGGGUUAUGCUAAUUUGAAUUUGGCAAUUUGUUAUAUAAAGUUCAUGCGACUUUUGCAAAUUGUACAGCAUAAUUAUGUACAACUGUGUGACUGAGCAGGCAUAAGAUGGUUUUGGUGCUUAAUAGUCAUCAUGUCUUGUUAUGCAUUUUCUUUCUCUUCACCUGUCAGGAAAUAAAUCCAUUUAAUUAAA